AUUCAUUUGUUAUAAAAGAAAAAUCAAGAAAAAGUUAAAAUGAAAAUUAUUAUUGCAUCAGCAAUUUAUAAAAUAAUUUUCAUUUGUUUUAACUUUUUCUUAUUUUCUUUUACAAAUGAAUUUUAAGAUA
rnacentral:ribozyme from 11 species